UGUGUACCAAUAAUCAUUCAUAGCUCCCUGGCAAGUGUAUCAAAUUUAUCUGAAUUGAUUGGAAUUUUAGAAUUCCUUUGAAACUUCAAAACAAAGCGUUGCUUACAAUUAAAGAAUACAAUAGAAUGUUAGUGGUAUGCUAAGUAAUUUAUUGAUACGUGUAAGUUUACUUAUAUUUUUAAAAUUAGUGACUUAAACAUUCGUUCAUUUUCAAUUCGCAAAACUUUAGCAGAUUGAGUAAACGAGCAUAUCUUUCGAGUUAAUAGAUCGGCUUUUUUGGUAUCUCAAACUUGUAAGCCUCCUACUGUGUUAAAAUCAACAAAGCAACAACACUUAAAAUCAACAAAGGUCAUUUUAGGUUUCAAUGAGAAAGAUUCUUGUUUGAGAAGCCAUAGUAAAAGAUAACGGCUACCAUUUUUUUUGAACAAUAUAGAGACUGAAAGAGAGAGUUCUUAAAAAAUCCUUAAAGGAAUGCUAGUAUCCCUCACCCCCCAAAGAAAAUAAACAUUCGAAUGGCUUGUUCACACGCAAGAUGUAAAUACUAGGAAAAACAGAAUUCAUCUCGACAAUCUGAGAAAUGCGUGCAAGAAGUAUAUUUGCAUUACUUAUAAACACCAUUCACUGUAAAAUAUAAUUCCUGAAAAUUUAUGGCAAGAAAAGAAGAUAUUUAAGAUGCUAGUGCGUGAAUUCAAUAUUUUGUGUUACAUUUUUCGACUUUUUUCAAAGAGUAAUAAAAAUAUAAAUUUAUGUAUUAAUAAAUAA